rnacentral:lncRNA from 1 species
GACUGUGUAGAAAGGCUGCAGUCAGAGCAUACAGCACCCAGCCGUGAGCUCUAAAGAAUUCCUGAAUGACCAGGCCAGUCUACAGACACGGUGUAAGGUAAUUAAAAAAUGAACGGAUUCUCAACUAAAGCCAUAGUAGGACCUAACAAAAACAACAAUAGCAACAGCAGCAGCAGCAACAACAAUAAAAAAACAGCAACAACAAUAAUAAUAA